GACGAACGCUGGCGGCGUGCUUAAUACAUGCAAGUCGAACAGAGUUACUUUAGAAGCUUGCUUUUGGAGUAACUUAGUGGCGGACGGGUGAGUAACGCGUGGGCAACCUGCCCUCUAGUCGGGGACAACAGCUCGAAAGGGCUGCUAAAACCGGAUAUGCUCACACCCGGACAUCCGGGAGUGAGAAAAAGCAAUGCUAGAGGAUGGGCCCGCGUUCCAUUAGCUAGUUGGUGAGGUAACGGCCCACCAAGGCGACGAUGGAUAGCCGACCUGAGAGGGUGAACGUCCACACUGGGACUGAGACACGGCCCAGACUCCUACGGGAGGCAGCAGUAGGGAAUUUUCCGCAAUGGGCGAAAGCCUGACGGAGCAACGCCGCGUGAGGGAUGAAGGUUUUCGGAUCGUAAACCUCUGUCUAGAGGGACGAUAGUGACGGUACCUCUGGAGGAAGCCACGGCUAACUACGUGCCAGCAGCCGCAGUAACAC
rnacentral:rRNA from 1 species